GCCAGACUCCUACGGGAGGCAGCAGUGAGGAAUAUUGGUCAAUGGUCGGGAGACUGAACCAGCCAAGCCGCGUGAGGGAGGAAGGUACAGAGUAUCGUAAACCUCUUUUGUCAGGGAACAAAGACUGGGACGCGUCCCCGGAUGAGUGUACCUGAAGAAAAAGCAUCGGCUAACUCCGUGCCAGCAGCCGCGGUAAUACGGAGGAUGCGAGCGUUAUCCGGAUUUAUUGGGUUUAAAGGGUGCGUAGGCGGAAUGCCAAGUCAGCGUUAAAAUCGGGGGGCUCAACCUCGCUCCGCCGUUGAAACUGGCGUUCUUGAGUGGGCGAGAAGUAUGCGGAAUGCGUGGUGUAGCGGUGAAAUGCAUAGAUAUCACGCAGAACUCCGAUUGCGAAGGCAGCAUACCGGCGCCCAACUGACGCUGAAGCACGAAAGCGUGGGUAUCGAACAGGAUUAGAUACCAAGU
rnacentral:rRNA from 1 species